CAUGUAACUUUCAGAGUUUUAUUGUUAUUAAGAUAGUUUACAGAGUGCUAAAAGUGCUGCUGUUGCUAGCUAGCAUGCCUUUCUGUGAUGCAGACGGUUAGCUGCCCACUGGUGCUGGCUUUGCAUUAUGGGAGAUGUAGUUUUGUCCGGUCUGAAUGGGAUAGAGGCGAUUUCACGUUGUAACUUGUUUGUGUUGCAGUGUUUUUGUACAUGAGUUGUUGUAUUUUGGUACUGUCAACACUGAAAGCACCUAGCAAUGUAUUGGGGAUGUGAGACAGGAUAUGUGUUUUACCUUUCUUCAUGCUCGAAAGGGGUAUAAUGAAAGAGUGGAAGGCUGAGUCAGAGAGCCAGAGGGAGGCAGAGUGCCACAGAGGGAGGCAGAGUGCCACAGAGGGAGGCAGAGUGCCACAGAGGGAGUCAGAGUGCCACAGAGGGAGUCAGAGUGCCACAGAGGGAGUCAGAGUGCCACAGAGGGAGUCAGAGUGCCAGAGAGGGAGUCAGAGUGCCAGAGAGAAGCAGAGCGAGCCACAGAAGCAAUGGAGCACCAGAGAAAACUGCAGGAGAUCCACAGACUCAAACAACUGCUGGAUCUACUGAUGGUGGACCUACAACUGGCCCACAUAAGACAUGUCAUUGUUAUUAUUAAAAGGCAGUGUAUAUUUACCCAGCUGAAAAUGAAUAGUGGCAGACAGCGGUACGCUAACCCAAUGUUAACUUUUAUUCCUUUCCUUAACCCUUACCUUAACCUCACUGAAACUAUACCUAACCUUUACCUUAACCCAACUCUAGGUCCUGAACCUAACCUUCAUUUAUCUCAACCCCUAUGCCUUUCUUCUGCCGGUUGAAUAUCCACUUCCUUAUUAACGUCAUUACUGUUGUUGUUGUUGUUGUUGAUAACUGUAUCUGUGCAGGUUGUAAAUAGUUGCAUUAGUGAAGCAUCAUCUGUAGGAGUAAUUUCUACAAGCAUAAACAUCAGAGGCAACAUUGUUGUAACAUCACACAAAUUGUAACAGGAAUUUCUCAAACCCCUAACUGAAUGGGCAAGAAGGUUGUGUGUUUGUAUUUGUACACAUUGUGGACAUAAUUGAUUCCGUAAAAUGUCUCAUAUUUGCAUUGGGAAUUUCAUUUAGCUUCAAUCAGAGAGAGAGAGAAGAUAAUAGAGGCAACGAAAAGAGAGGAGAUGGCAGAAGAGGAAAGAAGGGAGAUCCUUGAGAAGAGGGGUGAGUUAGAGAACACUGAAGAGGAGGAGGAGAAGGACGAUGACAAGGAGGACAUCCUCCCACCUGAUAAAAGUAUCUGAAGGAGAGCCGUGGGCUGGGUAAAUAAGAAGUGGGAGAAGAGGAACCUCAGAAAGAUAGAGAACCUGUCAGAGAGAAGCUGAGGAGGGCUAUAAGAUCGUCCACAUAGUCAUCCCUGGACCCAUAAGGCUAACCAUGACCCAGGCAGAGAGAGAGAGGAAGGAGCUCCUGAAGACUGAGGAGAGAAGGAAUAAGAUGGAGGAUUGCAGUGGAGAGAGCAGUCCCUGCUUAAUAAACGGACUCAUCAGAAACUUAAAGAGGAGAGGGAGAGGAUGAAGGAACAGUACCUAAAUAAACAAGCAAGAGAUUUAAGAUGGGAUGCUUGGCUUUUUCUUUGUCUUGGAUAUUCGCUCUGAUGUUUCAGCCUCUUCUGGAGCUUCUAGCUGCUGGCUGUCUGGCCCCCCCUGAUGGUUCUCUGGCCCCUCCUGCUGGUUCUCUGAACUCCCCUCCUGGUUCUCUGCCCAUGCCUGUUGCCUCCUUGGCCUUUCCUGGUGGCCAUCAGCAGAUCCAGUGGGCUCUUGGCUUACUUGUUGGCCAUUGGCCCACCCGGGCAACUCCUGACCGUGGUUGUAAUCGUGGCUGUGUUGGGUGGUUAGACACCGGGUGUUGAUUUGAGCAUCAGCCUCCAGAUUCAUCUGCUCCAG